rnacentral:lncRNA from 1 species
GCGGUGGAGCGGGGAGGGUCGUACGUGUGGGUGCGUGAACGAGGGAGGGAAAAAGAGGUUGAAGCAUUGAAGGGAGAGAGGAGAGGAACACAGAGGUCGUUUGUGAGGGUCGGGGUUGAGGAGAUCGGGAAAAGAGAAGGGAAGGGAGAGGGCGUUGUGGUCGUGAAAAAAGGAAAAGGUGAGGGAUAGGGAAUGAGAGAGGUCGAGGGAAGGAAAUGACGAGGUAAGGGUUGUCGACGGGGGAAAGAGAAAGAAAAAGGGAAAUGAGAGAAGCCGGAGAGGGCUAAGGGUGGUGGGGAACAAUGGUGGGCGAAUUUGCAAAGGUAAUGCUAACGGCGGCUAGGGUUAAAGGUUGGAAACUUGGAGAAGAUGAAAGUGAAAAGAAAUUAGGGUUUGAGGGUUAAAAAGGGGGACAUGGUCAUGUAAGGGCCCGUGUUGGGC